rnacentral:tRNA from 1 species
GCCUGGGUGGCUCAGUCGGUUAAGCGUCCGACUUCAGCUCAGGUCACGAUCUCACGGUUCGUGGGUUCAAGCCCCGUGUCAGGCU